rnacentral:rRNA from 1 species
CCAAUAGCGUAUAUUAAAGUUGUUGCAGUUAAAAAGCUCGUAGUUGAAUUUUGGAUUCGGCCAAUUGGUCCAUCUUUUAGAUGAGUACUGGUUGUGUUGGGUCUAUCCGCCUGGUGAUACGUAAUGCCCUUUAUUGGGUGUUGCGGGUAGUCAGGACCUUUACCUUGAAAAAAUUAGAGUGUUUAAAGCAGGCUUAUGCCGGAAUACAUUAGCAUGGAAUAAUAGAAUAGGACGAAGUUGUUUUAUUUUGUUGGUUUCUAGGACAACCGUAAUGAUUAAUAGGGAUAGUUGGGGGCAUUAGUAUUCAAUUGUCAGAGGUGAAAUUCUUGGAUUUAUUGAAGACUAACUACUGCGAAAGCAUUUGCCAAGGAUGUUUUCAUUAAUCAAGAACGAAAGUUAGGGGAUCGAAGACGAUCAGAUACCGUCGUAGUCUUAACCAUAAACUAUGCCGACUAGGGAUCGGGCGAUGUUGUUUCCAUGACUCGCUCGGCACCUUAUG